UAGCUCAGUUGGCAGAGUGUUUGCCUUGCACGUAUAAGGCCCUGGGUUCAAUCCCCAG
rnacentral:tRNA from 1 species